rnacentral:rRNA from 1 species
UGCAGUCGAACGGUAAGUUAAGAGCUUGCUCUUAACACGAGUGGCGAACGGGUGCGUAACGCGUAUGCAAUCUACCCUUUUCUGGAAGAUAGCCCUUAGAAAUGAGGAUUAAUACUCCAUAGUAUAACAAUUUCGCAUGUUAUUGUUAUUAAAGCUUCGGCGGAAAAGGAUGAGCAUGCGUCCCAUUAGUUAGUUGGUAGGGUAACGGCCUACCGAGACUCCGAUGGGUAGGGGGCCUGAGAGGGUUAUCCCCCACACUGGUACUGAGACACGGACCAGACUCCUACGGGAGGCAGCAGUGAGGAAUAUUGGUCAACGGAGGCAACUCUGAACCAGCCAUGCCGCGUGCAGGAUGACUGCCCUAUGGGUUGUAAACUGCUUUUAUGUAGGAAGAAACCUCAGUACGUGUACUGAGCUGACGGUACUACACGAAUAAGGACCGGCUAACUCCGUGCCAGCAGCCGCGGUAAUACGGAGGGUCCAAGCGUUAUCCGGAUUUAUUGGGUUUAAAGGGUACGUAGGCGGAAGAUUAAGUCAGUAGUGAAAGCCCAUCGCUCAACGAUGGAACUGCUAUUGAUACUGG